UACGUAGGGGGCAAGCGUUGUCCGGAUUUAUUGGGCGUAAAGAGCGUGUAGGCGGCCUGGUAGGUCUGCUGUGAAAACUCGAGGCUCAACCUCGAGAUGUCGGCGGAAACCAUCUGGCUAGAGUCCGGAAGAGGAGAGUGGAAUUCCUGGUGUAGCGGUGAAAUGCGCAGAUAUCAGGAAGAACACCUAUGGCGAAGGCAGCUCGCUGGGACGGUACUGACGCUGAGGCGCGAAAGCGUGGGGAGCAAACAGG
rnacentral:rRNA from 1 species